ACCGCGGUAAUAGUUUACGGACUUUUCAACUAAAUCAACUUCAGUUAACAUAAAUGCCUCUCCGAUCGUAAUCAUUUACUUCAGCAAUUUUAAUUAGUUUAAUUAUAAAAGUGCUUUUUGGGACGUAAGCUCUUGAGUAAUGUCACUAUGUAUUUCAAAUUUUAAAUGAUGGAAGCUUAUACUUGCAUGUUUGAUAAUGUGAGGCGCGCUGAGUCUUCAUGUGUUUUUGUUCCUGUGCUUAAAUCGAUCGAUAAAAUUCUUAAUGAUGGACGCAAGAAAUAGCUGAUUAGGAAUCUUAAUUGUAAAGUAAGGAUUUCAUCAAUUCGAGACGAAGCUUCAACCCCAGGGCCAACGAGAAUCAAGAAGAAGCCAUAUGGGAAGUGCGGAGGAACCGAAAUUCUGAGUGGAUUUUUACAGAAGUAUUUCAUCAA